GACGAACGCUGGCGGCGUGCUUAACACAUGCAAGUCGAACGGAAAGGCCCUGCUUUUGUGGGGUGCUCGAGUGGCGAACGGGUGAGUAACACGUGAGUAACCUGCCCUUGACUUUGGGAUAACUUCAGGGAACUGGGGCUAAUACCGGAUAGGAGCUCCUGCUGCAUGGUGGGGGUUGGAAAGUUUCGGCGGUUGGGGAUGGACUCGCGGCUUAUCAGCUUGUUGGUGGGGUAGUGGCUUACCAAGGCUUUGACGGGUAGCCGGCCUGGGAGGGUGACCGGCGACAUGGGGACUGAGAGACGGCGCAGACUCCUACGGGAGGCAGCAGUGGGGAAUAUGGCGCAAUGGGCGGAAGCCUGAUGCAGCAACGCCGCGUGCGGGAUGACGGCCUUCGGGGUGUAAACCGCUUUCUCCGGUGACGAAGCGUGAGUGACGGUAAUGGGUAAAGAAGCACCGGCUAACUACGUG
rnacentral:rRNA from 1 species